GUUCCUACGCUUGGAAGGGACCUUCUUGACGUCACGGUCAUGUGAUAAUACCAAAUGACCGCUCAUUGCGCAUGCCCCAUUAUUGCGCGGGAAAUUUAAACACCCAGACGUCCUAAUUGCUGCUACUAGCAGAGUCAGUGGGGGCCACCAACCGGAUGGGGAACUCUACCCGGCGUUUUGCAGAAUCCGCUAUUGGUGCCCCUCCUGAGAGGAAGAAACAGUAACAAGGACUGAGUUAGUGGGGCCCCGGGCCCCAUACAAAAUGGGACAACAUUUUCCUUUCAUAACUCCGGCAAUUGGUCCUCUCAGUUCCCAAAGGGUUACAGAGCGUUGCUGAAAGAACACCGUUGGAAACGAGCCCCUGCCUCCCCUCAUGUUGUGGGCAUUCAUGUCAAAAUGAAAAGACAUUUUUGGGAAAGCAGUAAAAUUUCUCAUUUCAGCAUU